AAUGUAAAUUAAUUAACUAAGGUAGUAUUAGUUAUGAUCUUGAAACUUAAAAAAUUUGGCGGUAUUUUAGUCUAUUCAGAGGAACCUGUCCUGUAAUCGAUAUUCCACGUUGGACCUUACUUAAAUUUGUUUUUCAGUUUAUAUACCGUCGUUAUAAGAAUAUUUUAAAAGAAUAAUAAUUUUCAAUAAUUUUUACAAUAAUUUAUAUCAGAUCAAGGUGUAGCUUAUGUUUAAGUAGAGAUGGGUUACAAUAAAUUUAUUUUUGGAUUUAAGUAUGAAAAAUUUAAUGAAAUUGGAUUUGAUAGUAAAAUUAUAAAGAUUAAUAAUUUGAUUAUAGCUCU
rnacentral:rRNA from 1 species